rnacentral:rRNA from 1 species
GAUGAACGCUGGCGGCGUGCCUAAUACAUGCAAGUCGAGCGAAUGGAUUAAGAGCUUGCUCUUAUGAAGUUAGCGGCGGACGGGUGAGUAACACGUGGGUAACCUGCCCAUAAGACUGGGAUAACUCCGGGAAACCGGGGCUAAUACCGGAUAACAUUUUGAACCGCAUGGUUCGAAAUUGAAAGGCGGCUUCGGCCGUCACUUAUGGAUGGACACGCGUCGCAUUAGCGAGUUGGUGAGGUAACGGCUCACCAAGGCAACGAUGCGUAGCCGACCUGAGAGGGUGAUCGGCCACACUGGGACUGAGACACGGCCCAGACUCCUACGGGAGGCAGCAGUAGGGAAUCUUCCGCAAGGGACGAAAGUCUGACGGAGCAACGCCGCGUGAGUGAUGAAGGCUUUCGGGUCGUAAAACUCUGUUGUUAGGGAAGAACAAGUGCUAGUUGAAUAAGCUGGCACCUUGACGGUACCUAACCAGAAAGCCACGGCUAACUACGUGCCAGCCGCCGCCGUAA